GACUGUGGAAUGUCUCAUUGUUUAGCUCAACAAUGCUGUAGCUGUCCCAUGUACACAGUCACUCAUCCAUAGGGGCCUCAGCUUCUCAUGUGCCCUCACUCACACUCACCUUUCUCACAACCACAAAUGCAACAUACUUCUCUCCCCCAGGCUGCUGGAGAGUGGGUGUUAAAAAUAUGCAAGUUGACUGUGGAGAAGUUGAAAAUCACAUGAAUUUCAUGCUUCAGCAGACUGCUGUAUGAUGUGUCAUACCCAGGAGUCAUUGGAUAGGAUGGUGGCCAAUAGAUGGCUCUUUGCAAAUAUGGGCUGGCAGAGAACUGAGAAGCACUUAAUGGCAUUCAGGAAGGUGUGUUUUCUUGCAUCUGGAAGUCAGAAAAUGUGGUCUGAGGAGGGACAGAGUGGAAAGGCAAUGUAACCUUCAAAAAUGAGUCCCUAGAUAGUUUCUCUUGCAGAAAGUCUGGAGACAUAGACAAAUGCCUGAGACACCCAUGCACUAUAAGUGAGUAUAUAUUUGCCACAUUCCUUGAAUGUGUGGAAAAUAUGUGGGAGAGGAAGUCAGAGGGUCUAAAUUUAGGUGCCCUCAAGAGAAUUAAUCAGUACCACUUAUGUGUAGGCCAUUAAAAAGGACUGUAAUUUUGGAGAGCUCAUGCUAUGCCACAAUCAUCACAAACAUCCAGGUGGGAAUUCAAUUUGUCUUGUUUUAGUCACCUUUAAAGCUCCCGUGAUGGAAGGCAUCCUUUAUUUUUUGGGCUUUGUUUGUGUUGUUUUCUGUCACCUGUUAGGUGACAGCAACAUGGGCCAGCAGUAGGAAAGAGCUUCACCCACAGCUGGAGGUGAACCCACAGGGUGUGCUCAGGGUCAGACCUGCAGCAGGGUUUUGGGAGGCUGAGCAAACUACAGUUCCAGUUCUUUCUGAGCUGCUCGGAGAGGUGGGAAGCAGGGUAGAAAAGGUGAGCAGCAGUAAUCCCUGACAGGAUGACCAGUGAGGCAGGUUGUAAAUCAUGGUGUCCAUCUGGAUGAAUGAGCCAGAGCUGUGACACAUAGUCCUCGUGUGCUGCCCCCCCAGCUCCACAUGGCUUUCCAGAUCUAUUUACGUUGUGUGUAGUUUAAAGGCUUUGGAGCUAUGAAUCUCCUUUCCAGGGCUUGCUUUGUCUUUUCUUCUUUGUAUGCCAGUGCAUGUUGGUGGAUGGAGGAAUGCCAUGGAGUGGUGAGACCCAAGACAUGCAAUGGAGAGUGAGGAAAUAUGAAAAUAAGAGGGAAAAAGAAGAGGAAGAACAAAGGAAAUGGAAAAGGAAAAAAAGAGCCCGAAACUAGAUCCAGCAGCUUGUGCUAACUUCUUGCAAGUUAACCUCUCCAAGCUCCCAUGAGCAUAUCUAAGACAAACUUCUAUCUCCUAAAACCACUCUUAAGUCUCCUGACAUCUCGAAUGUAUCAUUCAGUGAAAGGCACAGCUACAAGGAUAAUAAUACAACAGCCAUGGCACAGAUGGUCAGUCAUGUCCAACAUUACAAAAUGGUGCAUCCAGUUGCAGAAAUGAGGAAGCUGCAAGAGGCAACAACUCCAGCCAUAGCAGCAUCAGAUUUUACCAUAGGAAAGCCAGGUUAUUUGCCAGUGUCUUACAAUGUAAAUUGAGAGUGUAACACCUGGCCCUGACACUGCAACAGGGCAGCAACCUUUAAUUGUAUUUUCCCUUUCCUUCCAGCCUGCCCUUCUGGAAGAUUUUGCUUUUGUAACUGAUGUAUUAAAGGUGCAAUAAAUGUUUAAUAAUUGGA